AUUGAACGCUGGCGGCAUGCCUUACACAUGCAAGUCGAACGGCAGCACGGGAGCAAUCCUGGUGGCGAGUGGCGAACGGGUGAGUAAAGUAUCGGAACGUGCCCAGUCGUGGGGGAUAACGUAGCGAAAGUUACGCUAAUACCGCAUACGAUCUAUGGAUGAAAGCGGGGGAUCGCAAGACCCCGCGCGAUUGGAGCGGCCGAUAUCAGAUUAGGUAGUUGGUGGGGUAAAGGCUCACCAAGCCGACGAUCUGUAGCUGGUCUGAGAGGACGACCAGCCACACUGGGACUGAGACACGGCCCAGACUCCUACGGGAGGCAGCAGUGGGGAAUUUUGGACAAUGGGCGAAAGCCUGAUCCAGCCAUGCCGCGUGCAGGAUGAAGGCCUUCGGGUUGUAAACUGCUUUUGUACGGAACGAAAAGGUUUGGCCUAAUAAGCUGAGCUCAUGACGGUACCGUAAGAAUAAGCACCGGCUAACUCUGUGCCAGCAGCCGCCGUAA
rnacentral:rRNA from 1 species